UAAUACGUAGGGUGCAGGCGUUAAUCGGAAUUACUGGGCGUAAAGCGUGCGCAGGCGGUUUGCUAAGACAGGUGUGAAAUCCCCGGGCUUAACCUGGGAACUGCGCUUGUAACUGGCAAGCUAGAGUGUGGCAGAGGGGGGUGGAAUGCCGCGUGUAGCAGUGAAAUGCGUAGAGAUGCGGCGGAACACCGAUGGCGAAGGCAGCCCCCUGGGCUGAGAUUGACGCUCAGGCACGAAAGCGUGGGGAGCAAACAGGAUUAGAUACCCUGGUAGUCCACGCCCUAAACGAUGGCAACUAGGUGUUGGGGAAGCGAUUUCCUGGUACCGCAGCUAACGCGUGAAGUUGCCCGCCUGGGGAGUACGGUCGCAAGAUUA
rnacentral:rRNA from 1 species